rnacentral:lncRNA from 1 species
CUGCCAUUAAGCAUAAAGUCAGCUUUUCCUGGUAAGGAAACUUAAACGAUGGCCAAAGAACAGAAGAGGAAAGACAGUAGUAACUCAGUGACCUGGCUCCCAAAGCAGUGAAUUUCCCUGGAACAACAUGGUUAAGGUUCUUCCAAAGUAUAACUAAAAGAUCACAGGAUCUGGACUGAAGAACAAGAAGUCACAAGCUUAAAGGAAAAAAAAAACUAGAACAGUAUGAAAGAGAACACAGUUGCUUUCCUUUUGCCCCAUGGAACUAGCUUCCAAUUAUUGAGCACUUACUAUGUAACACUGUAUAUGUAUUAUUUGUGAUAUAUAAGUUAUUGGCGGUACCCAAAGAACCAAGAAUACUAUAACUCAGACUGUAGAGCUCAUAAUUGGCUUUAUUUAUUUGAGGCAAAGAAAACUGUGGAAGGAGACACUGAACCCCCAAACAGAAAGUUGAGAAUAAAAAGGAGAGAGUUUCACCCAUAAUCUUUUUCCUAUUCAUUUUAAUAUAUUGUAAACAUAUAGUUUUGUAUCUUAAAAUUCUUAUUGUAUCUUUAUUCUUAAAUUUGUUUCUCAAAUAUUCAAACCACAAAUUUAAAAAUAUUUGGUUUUAAAUGAAUAUUUUUUAAAAACUGAUUUGAACUUAUCUCUAUGAAAGUCCUACUUUGUUAAAUCUGCAUUUUCAAAAGCAAUCAUUUCUUCCUAAUAACUAGCAACUUAGACUUAAAGGUGGUAAGGGACCCACAGCACAGUCUUUACAUUUUAUUUAAAUUUGACAUAGCCUCAGGAAAUAAUCUGUAACUUCUUUGCUAUUAAGCUGGGUUUUUUAAAAAAACACCAUUUGGGAGGCCAAGGCAGGAGGAUUGCUUGAGGCCAGACGUUUGAGACCAGUCUGAGCAACAUAGCAAGGCCUCAUCUCUGAAAAUAAUUUAGCAAUUAGCCAGGUGCGGUGGUGUGUGCCUGUAGUCCCAGCUACUCCGGUGGCUGAGGCAAGAGGGUCACUUGAGUCCAGGAAUUUGAAGUUGCAGUGAGCUAUGAUUGCACCACUGCACUCCAGCCUGAGCAACAGAGGAAGGCCCUGCCUCUAAAGAAUAAAAAUAAAAAUAAACCACUCACAUCGUUCUAAUCUCUAAACAACUAUUGAAGCGCUUCACUCUCCAGCCUCCCACCACUAUCAUACACCCAAAGCCUUAAGUAAAUGAUAAUUCAUUUAAAUUAACAGAAAUCAUUUAAAUGUAUUUCCAAAAUAUAUUUAUGCUUUGUAUGUUUUGUUCAUUUGCUAUUAAUAUAUCCUCCAAGCAAUUUGAAAUGUCAUAAAAUUAAUAAUGCAAGAGUAAGGUAAUUAAUUGCUCAAACACUUUAACAAAGAAAUUCCUCUCUUGGCAAUUUAUCUGAAGAAAAUAUUUUUUUAAUUGAGUGAAAUAUUUACAUAAAGAUAUUCAUGGUAUGUAAUGGUAUAAGAAUAAAACAUAAUUAUACAAUAAUAAAAACACCAGAAGCCACCUAAAAACUGGCUUAGUAAAUUACGUGCUAUCACUAAGAUUAUGUUGCCAUUAUGAAAACUCUGAAAGCCAG